rfam:Trichobilharzia regenti genome assembly, scaffold: TRE_scaffold0038178
AGCCCUCCGUAUCCGCGCUGAGAUUUCGUCAGAGAUCACCCCGUUGGGGAUGAUGCAACUUCCCAGAUAAGUGAAGCG